rnacentral:lncRNA from 1 species
GCUGCUGGUGGGCUUGCACGGUCAGCGCGAUUCCUUCCACCUCUGGAUCGAACCUGUGCAUCGGGUUUUUUUUUGUGCCUGGCUCUAUCAAAUGUGUUCCACUCGACGGUUUUCUUCGCACCGGCCGAGCACCCCCAUGUUCUAGAAGCUUCUCCCUUGCGUGAAUGUAGCAAUAGACUCCGGCAGUUGGGAUCUCCUGGCAGCGAAUCAUAACAAAUUUUGUCCCAAAAUCUAAUCUCCGUAGCGAAGCUGUCAUUGUUUGUUGCGAUUAUCCCGGUAGAUUUCGACUCAGACUCGAUUCCAUCCUGCGAUUAUAAAAGUCCAGCCACCAUAGCCAUGCGAGCAGCGCACGUCGGAGAGGGAGCUCGGGUGUCGUCGAGUGCGGAACCAGGGAGCCCCGUCGUCCGGGGGGCUUCACCGCGCCGCGCUGGUCAGGUCCGUGGCUUUGGCCGGGCAGGUUUUCGCCCAGAAUUGCGGAUUGGGCGGACCUUCUGUCACGGAGCUUCUUCUCGUCGCGAGCCGCACCGAUUGUGCCCGGAUUCGUGGUAAGUCUUUGUUUAUCGAGUUCUAGGCUUAGCCCGGAGUCGAUUGUCGACUUUUAGCCGCGGGAUUGGUGCGUCAGGGCACGGAUUUGGUUUGCUCCGGCGAGGUCGCGGCCGUCGAUUUGGGCGGCGCUGCCUCGGGUGGAUGUUGGGGGGAAGAUGGUGGUUGUCCGUUAGAUUACGAUCCAACGGAUAUGAUUGAUCGGGAGCGAAGGGGUGUCCUGAGCCGUUGAUCGAUAGAUGGGCGGCACGGAUUAGAUCUCUGCGUACCCCCUUCGGCCAACACAUUUGCUAAAGCGCCCCUGCUCUAUAUAGUAAUCAACCCGCGGUACAAUCCUGAGUCUUGGAACUAUUUGCAUAGUAGACCCUGUGCUCUAUGGAAUUCACAGCCGCGGUCCAGUCAGUUAUUAAAUAAGAGAAAACAUAAUCAAAAUGAAUUUCUUAUAUAAAAACAAUUCCAGAAUCUUGUUAAAUCCAUAGAAAAUUCAUAUUAAGUCCGAAUUGACCCAUUCUUGUUUCUAUAAUUUUGUAAUAUUAUUGUCUAUCGGCUAGUGUCUCUGGUUUGACAUGAAAACUAUAUUAAAAAUUAAUCUCUCAAUUAAUCUUGUAUCAAAUACAUAAACCUUUGGAAAUUUCUAACGUCCCCAUUUUAACUCCGUUUUGAUCCAUUCUAGUUUCAUUAGUCUCACCAUAAUAUUUAUUAUCAUCUGGUAACUUUGUUUUGUCAUGAGAUAUAGGUUAAAAUGUUGCACUUAGUCUAUUAUAUACUUAACCGUGGAUCUUCUAUAAAUCAUAACUCUUUAACCGUAAUUCCGAAUUUAGUGGUUCUUGUUUCCACGAUCUCGUAGCGACGCGUAGCUUAUUCUUACACAGUUAGUUCUUAUGAUUGAUGUGAUGUUAAUUUUGUCUAUACCAUGUUUGUUUGUAUUGCUACGACUAGCAGUGAGGUUACGAAUCUCGAAGAGCAAGUUGGUACCUAGAAUCUCAAGUCCCAGGCAAGUUGUGCCCUUGAUCACUUCUUUUACCCAGUCAUGUUCUUAUUAAUCAUAAUGAUCUGCAUAGGUUAAUUUUGAUGGGACCCAAUAGGAUACCCUAGAUUUUGACUAUCUUUAUACCUUGCUUCACCACUGGUUUUACUACUAAGUUUUUGGGUAGUACAUGCUAUUGCUUUAUGUGGAUUUGGGUAUAGAGAUAUUCAUCACUCAUUUUUACACUUGUUAUUAUCUGUUCAUUAUUUUAUGUUCAUGAUAAGAUCAUUAUGUUAAUGGGAACAUGGAGAACCACCCAGGAAAACAGUGCUACCACAAGGGUUUAUGGACGCCCUUGGCUGAUUAAUUAGGAAAGCUAGUGGAGGACUACCUUACCCGAAAGGGGCAAGGGCAGUAGGGGAGUGGUCAGUGUAGGGAGGUCCUUGGUUGAUUUUGCUGCGAUGGCGGUCAGGCAAGAACCCUGCACUGGAGCUUCCUAUAAACUGUAGCGGGUUUUCUGAAGCUAGUGGAACUUUGUAAAGGCCUCGUAGUGGUACCCUGCCUCGCUUCCUUGGUAGAGGUGUAUGGAGUCUGAUCAACUCUGUGGCAAAUGGGUAACACGACUUGUGGGUAAAGAUGCGCAACCUCUGCAGAGUGUAAAACUGGUAUACUAGCCGUGCUCACGGUCAUGAGCGGCUCGGACACUCACAUGAUUAAAUUAUGGAACUUAAACUCAAUUUGUCAUAUGCAUUGCAUCGCAGGUGAGGUUGUUACUUUUGUUCUACUACUUAAUUGGGUUGGUAUUUACUUAUACUUAGUAAUUGCUAAUAAAAUUUUGACCAACUUUAAAAGCAAUGCUCAGCUCUAACCAUCCUCUUUGGUAAGCCUUACACUUCACGUGAGCUCCCACCUUUGGCGAGUUCAUGCACAUUAUUCCCCACAACUUGUUAAGCGAUGAACGUAUGUGAGCUCACUCUUGCUGUCUCACACCCCCCCACAGGUCAAGAACAGGUACCAUAGGAUGAGGCGCGUGGAGGAUGCUGCGAUGUGUUCGUGAGAGGUCUAGGUCGUCGUCUCCCAGUCAACUUUGGUUUGCUGGACCGUUGUCUCCUUAUAAUGUAAUUAUUUAUUUUGUACAAAACUCCUAUUAUAUAGUAAAGAUGUGACAUUCGAUCAUGUGCCAUGAUUCAUCAUAUGUGUGAGACUUGGUCCCAGCACACCUGGUGAUUAUGUUCACGCCCGGGUCUUGGUGCCCCAAAAUCUGGGUGUGACACUCCCUGAUCAGGUCCCCGAAAGUCUUACUCAUCGCUCGCACAAAUGUUGGCAAGGCGUUCUUCAGACCGUAGGGCAUCACGACAUAGCAGUAAAGCCCAUCCACUGUUACAAAAGCGAUAUGCUUCCUAUCUUCCCUAGACAUCUGGAUUUGAUGGAAACCAGAGUAAGCAUCUAAGAAAGACAAAAGGUCGCACCCGGAGGUGGAAUCCACGAUUUGAUCUAUUUGCGGAAGUGGAUACGGGUCUUUAGGACAAGCCUUGUUAAGGCUGGUGUAGUCGAUGCACAUCCGAAGCUUCCCAUUCGCCUUGGGGACGAUGACUGGGUUGGCCAGCCACACUGGGUGAUGGACCUCUUCGAUAAAGCCAGCGUCUAGCAGCUUCGGACCUCGUUCGGAUGAAGUCCUAUCGCUCGACAGACUUUCUGCGAGGCUUCUGACUCACCGGCCUGGCGUCAGGGUUGAUCUUCAGAUGGUGCUCGAUCACCUCCCUGGGGAUCCUAGGCAUCUGCAACGGCUCCCAUGCGAACAUGUCGGCGUUUGCCUGGAGGAAGGAGACGAGCGCGAGUUCCUGUUUUUCCUCCAGAUCACCCGCAAUGCGAGUGGUCUGGGAGGAACCCGCGCUGAGCUGGACGACCUUGAUGGGGACGUCGUCCGCUCCGGAUGGCUGCACCUUCGACACUUUGGUAGGCGCCUUGGUACCAGAGGUCGAGGGGUUCUUCCCUCCGUCGUCUGGGCAAGCAGCUUUUGCCGCUAGGGCAUGCAGCUUUUCCAUAGCCGCGAGCGCAACGGCGCGGUCGCCCUGCACGGUGAGGACCCCGGCCGGAGACGGCAUCUUGAGGACCAAAUACCCGUAAUGGGCGAUGGCCAUGAACCGGUACAGGGCCGGCCUGCCGAUGAUGGCAUUGAAGGGGAGGUUAACCUUUGCGACAUCGAAUACGAUGUUCUCCAUGCGGAAGUUCUCCUCGGUCUCAAAUGUAACUGGGAGUGCGAUGCUCCCAAGGGGAUACAUCGGUUGUGGGCCCAGUCCAGAGAAUGGACGAGAGGGUCCCAGCCGAGACCUUGGGAUCUGUAGCUGCUUGAAUGUAGCAUGACUGAUGACGUUGAGGCCGGCCCCUCCGUCCAUCAGAACAUGGUGCAGCCGCAUGUUGGCGAUGACAAGAGCGGUGAUGAGCGGUAGUACACUGGCCCCUGCCAUGUUUUCGGGGCAGUCGGAUGCCCCAAAGGAGACAGUGGUGCUCCUCCACCGCUGAUGUGGAGCAGCCUUCGGGACCCCUGGGACCGCCAAAAGGACCUCUCGACGCAGGGACUUGAUGUUCCUGCGGGAGGUGAGCUCCCAACUCCUGCCGUACACCAUGUACAACUUCUUGCGGCGGUCGUCGUCGUCACCAGAGUCGGAGUCUCUAGUGAAGACGUCCUUGAGGCCCCCCUUGGGUGACUGAUACCCGAGCUCCCGUUCCCCUGCGGCUACUUCGCCGUCGUCGACCCUCUCCUUGCUAGGUCGGCGAUGGGGUGGGGAGCCAUCCUUGGAGGACUGCUCGCGACGCUCGCUGACGCGCUUCGCGAGCUUGAUUAUCUCGCGGCACUCCAAAGCGCUGUGGCGACUGUUGGGGUGCAUAGGGCAUGUGCCGCUGUUUCCACCCUACGGCCGGGGGCGCUUGUUGCGCUCGCUCCAGCCCCCAGCUGUCGCUGCGAUGACCGGAGCGGCAGUCUGCGGCUUCUCGUGGCCGCGGUUCUUCUUUUUCUUCUUUUUGCCGUCUUGGGACACGGCACCCGAGCCACCCGUCUGGGUGACCUCGAUCUGUGGUGCCGAGUGCCAUGCACGGCCCUCGGCAGCCCUGGCACACUUGUUGGCCAGAGCGAAGAGUGUGGUGACAGUUUCCAUGUCGUGUGUGGCUAACUUUUCCAACAUCUUUUCAUCACGCACUCCCUGGCAGAAAGCGGUGAUGAUGGAAGCAUUUGAAAUACGAUGAAUAGUGCCUCGUACCUUGGUGAAGCGGGAGAUAAACGCCCAGAGAGUUUCUCUAGGCUCCUGCCUCACUGCGUGGAGAUGGGCUUCCACGCCAUGUUGCUGAUAAGCGCUGGCGAAGUUCACUACAAACCUUGCGCAGAGCUCUUCCAAGGAGUAGAUCGAUUCUGGGGCAAGGUUCAUGAGCCAAGUCCGGGCCGGCCCAGACAAGGCAACAUGGAAGUAUGUCGCCAUUACGGUGGUGUCUCCACCGGCUGUCGUAAAUGGCGGUGACGUAAACCUGCAAGAAUUCUGACGGAUUUGUCGUACCGUCGUACUUCUCCGGCAGGUGUGGCCGGAACUUGGAUGGCCAGGUCGCCGCGCGGAGAUGAUCUGCUAGAGCGGCGCAGCCCACGCCGGCCAAGGGGACACCCGUCUGGAUCCGGGCGCCCGUUGGGGUCUGCGGUGCAACCGCAGCAAAGUCGUAGUCGAGGUUGCGACCCUCGAUGUUUUGUCGGCGCUCACGCACCCUCUCCAGAGAGACGCAGACAUCCCCGCCCACACGCCUGCGGUUGAGUUCCACCCGCAGGUCAUUAGACCUCUCCAUAGAGACUGGGGCAUCCUCGCCCGCUCGCCGGCGAUUGAGCUCUGCCCGCAGGUCCUCAGUCAGCGCGACCCUCACCGAGGGAGAGCGCAUUGAUACCGACGCCUCAUGCUGGCGUUGGGAUGACCGAGGCCUUGGCCUGGUUGAGCCAGAGUGCGCCAUGCUGAGCAGGCGGUCGACGUCGUCACGCCACUGCUUCAUGGCCCCCGAGGAGGCCGUGGAGCUAGGAGGGUGGCGCAGCAACUCUCUAGCCGCUGACAGCGCCCCAGGCGCAGCCCUAGACGUCCUCGACGUUUGCGCGGGAGUGUGCUGCCGUGCAGAGUGCACAGCAGUGGCCGCACCAGGCGCCGAAAGGUUGGUGGCCCGCGGUGUGGAAGAGGCAGCCGCCUCUUCCACCAUGAAGUCCUCGGGCAAGAGAUCAUGGUGCUCGACGAUGUGGACCAUGGAGUUGAGCAGAAGAUUAAGCAAAAACCUAAAGCCUAUCCCCCUACCUGGCGCGCCAAAUGUCGGAGAGGAAAUCUCCGGCCAGGUGGCGGAAUGCACCCGCCCUAAAUCCUAAGAUGAGGAGGGGCCUAAGUGUUUUGCCUGUUAGGUGGAAACGGGAAGAACACAAGAACACACAAGGAUUUAGAGUGGUUCGGGCCGCUGGAGCGUAAUACCCUACUCAACUAUGUGAUGUAUUGAGCUUGAGAGCUUGUAUGAACUUGUGAGUGUGAGAGUCUAAGUGUGUCUGCCUUGUAACGUUGCGUGCCUCCCCUUUUAUAGCUCAAGGGGGCACGUACAAGGGUGCUGAGCCCCGACAUGCGGGCCCAGGAACAUAACAGAUGUAAUAUUUGUAGUAACUAAUGCUGGUCGCCAGUGCAAUCUCCUUGCGCCCUGAUAUCCGCGGUCUACGUAGCAUUGGCGUGCAGCGGAAGCUUCCCUAGCAACGUACAAGUGAUGAUGAGCACAGCGUAUGCCGCAGCAUGGGCAUACUGCCUGCCACCGGAAUGGACAGGCACGUCGCCUUCAGGAUGGCCUGGUCGCCGCCCAUCAACAGAUUGGAUAGGGCUCAUCUAAUGCUGAGGCGGCACAUCGCCUGCCAGUGGAGUAGACAAGGCUCAUUAAAUGCCGAGGCGGCACAUCGCCUGCCAGUGGAGUGGACAGGCGACGCGACUUAUCCGCAAUUAAUGCAGAGGCCACGCGGCCCAGAGGCCUUACAUCACGCUCCGCCUGUAGGCUUAUGUCACGGGCAGUGGGCCACGUGGCAGCAUCGGGUCUCCGCCUGAGUGGGGAGCAGAAGCGUACACGACAUGGUCCGGACACGUGUCGGCUCUGGACCCCCGUCUGGUCUUGAUUAAGGUCCGGGUAGUCUUUGUCCCAGAAUCCGGGGACCCUACCAUGAGUAGCCUGGACCCCACACAGAGGGGUCCGGGACCCAUACCGGGGGUCCGGUUCGUGCCCGUGGGGGUCCUGGACUUCACACGGAGGUCCAGUUCGUAUAUACAGGGGUCCGGUACUUCCCAUGGGGGUCCAGACCUACUGACGAUACCUUGGAGGAUAUCGUCUUCUUUGGCCACGUGGCGGCCCUGGAGCUGCCCGCGUGGUGGGGUCGGGCGCUGUUUGCCACGCGACUAGAGAUAGCCGCGUGGACUCCGCGCCUUCAUACUGUAGUAAGGGGUACCCCUGUUCCAGGGUACUGACAGUCUCCAAACCAAAGAUUUUAUGAUUAAGUUGGGACAACAUAGUAUAACGUCUAGAUAAAGUAUCAGCAAUCACAUUAUCCUUUCCUUUUUUAUGCUUAGUAAUGUAAGGAAAUGAUUCUAUGAAUUCAAUCCAUUUAGCAUGUCGUUUGUUUAGAUUAGAUUGUCCCUUAAGAUACUUCAAAGAUUCAUGAUCCGAAUGUAUGACAAAUUCUUUAGGCCAUAGAUAACGUUGCCAAGUUUGCAAAACUCGUACUAAAGCAUAUAAUUCUUUGUCAUAUGUAGAAUAAUUCAGAGUUGGAUCAUGAAAUUUUUCACUAAAGAAAGCAACAGGUUUACCUCCUUGAAUGAGCACUCCUCCAAUCCCAAUGCCGCUCGCAUCAUACUCGAGCUCGAAUGUCUUGUCAAAAUCAGGAAGUUGCAGCAGUGGUGCUUGUGUGAGCUUUGACUUGAGGGCAUCAAAAGCUUGUUGUUGUGAUGGUCCCCAACGAAACAUCACUCCAUUCUUUGUCAACUCAUGGAGAGGUGCUGCAAUGGUGCUGAAAUCCCGCACAAAUCGCAUGUAGAAUCCUGCAAGACCAAGAAAACUUCGAACCUGCAUGACCGUGGUUGGAAGUGGCCAGCUCGUGAUGGCAACAAUUUUUGUCUCAUCCAUCUCAAUGCCCUGCGAUGUCACAACAUAUCCAAGAAAAUACACACGAUCGGUGUUGAAGGUGCACUUCUCAAGGUUACCAAAUAAACGUGCAUCACGCAAAACAUCAAAAACAACACAUAAAUGUUCAAUAUGAUCAUCAUGAGACUUACUAUAGAUAAGAAUAUCAUCAAAAUAUACCACCACAAAUUUACCAAUGAAAGCACGUAAAACCUCGUUCAUCAAUCCCAUGAAAGUGCUAGGCGCAUUAGUUAACCCAAAAGGCAUGACUAACCACUCAUAAAGACCGAACCUAGUUUUAAAUGCAGUUUUCCAUUCAUCACCUAAAGACAUACGAAUCUGGUGGUAUCCACUACGCAAGUCAAUAUUAGAGAAAACAAUAGAACCACUUAAUUCAUCAAGCAUGUCAUCCAAUCUAGGAAUAGGAUAUCUAUACCGAAUUGUGAUGUUAUUAAUGGCUCUACAAUCAACACACAUGCGCCAAGUGCCAUCUUUCUUAGGAACCAAAAGAAUAGGAACAAAACAAGGACUAAGGCUCUCACGAAUGUACCUGCGGUCCAGAAGGUCCUGGACCUGGCGCUGAAUCUCCUUAGUCUCCUCGGGGUUGGUCCUGUAGGCAGCACGGUUGGGCAAGUUCGCCCCUGGAAUUAAAUCAAUCUUAUGCUCAAUGCCUCGCACAGGUGGUAAUCCAGGGGGUAUCUCAGAGGGAAACACAUCCAUAUACUCUCGCAAAAGGUUAGCAAUAGCCGGUGGCAAAGCAAUAGACGUAUCAUCAAUGGAAUAGAAAGCAUUUUUGCACACUAAGGCAUAGCAAAGUCCAACAAAGGCAUGUAACUCAUCAAGAUCAGAUUUAGUGGCUAGCAAAGUAGGAGUUUUUAACUUAAUAUGUUGCUGAUUUUUAGAGUUCAAAACACCUUUUUGCUUAGCAUUAGUCUUUUUCUCAUAUUCAAAGUGGACAAUUUCAGUGGGAGUCAUAGGAAGCAACACAAUUUUCUUUCCCUUAUGCAUGAAAGUAUAUUUAUUAGAUCUACCAUGGUGAAUAGCAUCAGUAUCAAACUCCCAAGGACGUCCCAGUAAAAGAGAGCAAGCAUACAUAGUCACCACAUCGAAAUCAGCAAAGUCAUGGUAAGAGCCAAUAGAAAAAUGCACCCUUGCUGUUUUUGUUACCUGGAACUUACCGCUGUCGUUAAACCAUUGAAUGUGAUAAGGGUGGGGAUGCUCUCGUGUGGUUAAGCCAAGCUUCUUGACCACCUCAACGUUCACCAAGUUGUUGCAGCUACCACCGUCAAUGAUGGUAUGUACACGACAGUUCUUGACGAUGAGGAACAUGUUGAAGAGGUUGUGGCACUGUCUGUUGUCGUCGUCACUAGCCAUGGCACUCAAAGCUCGUUGCACAAUCAAGGCCUUAUAGGUCUCGGUCGCUGUUGUACCAAGAACCUCUUCAUCACCAUCAUAAGUCUCUGCAAUGUUAGCUCCAACAGUAUCUUCAUCUUCAACAUCAGAAGCACUAACAUACCCACCAUCACCAGUAGCAAUGUAUGCCCGUUUGCUAGGGCAAUCUCGCUGAAUAUGGCCAAGUCCUUGGCAGCGGUGGCACUUGAUGUCAGAGGAGCAGCCUGUGGAAGAGGUGGUCGUAGCAGGUUUUGCUGCAACACCCGAAGGCACCAAGGACUUGCUCUUGUCGUGUCCCUAUGAUGCCGAAGGUGCGGUGCUGCGUGUGCCACUGGUGGCGGAAGAUGUGGACGUCUGUACGCUCGAAGAGGAUGACGCCUUGGUUGGCGCCGGUGGCUGGCGUGGCGCGAAAGUGCUGCUCCUCCGCUGUUGACGACCCUUUAAUUCUUUUUCUGCCAACAUAGAAAGAUGGAACAAGCGUUGUAUAGAAUGAUAUUCUUUAUAAUCAACAAUAUCCUGAAUCUCCCGCCUCAAUCCCCCAUAAAACCUAACCAUUUGAUCCUCCGGAUCCUCAACUACCCCACAUCGUAGCAUACCUUUCUGAAGCUCUUGGUAGUAUUCCUGUACCGACAUGUCUCCCUGAUCUAAGCGUUGCAAUUUUUUUUGAAGAUCACGUCUAUAAGAAGGGGGAACAAAGCGAGCUCGCAUCUCCUCUUUUAAUGCAUUCCAUGUUUGUGGUGCAGCACAUGUCUUAACAAGUUCAUUCCACCAAAUGAUAGCAAAAUCUCUAAAUUCACUAGUGGCUUGUCUAACCCUAUGCUGCUCAGGAACAAGAUGGGAAUUAAAUUUUUGUUCUACCGUCAUCUCCCAGUCUAAGUAAGCUUCAACAUUAUAAGAACCCAUGAACGGUGGAAUAGAGAACUUAAUCUUAGCAAAUGGAUCAUGGUAUGGUUCAGGAUUAUGAUGACGGCGUCUACCAUUACCUCCCAUACCUUGUCGAUUACGUGCGAGGCGUUGUUGCAGCGGUGCAUAAAGAUCGUCGUCAUCGUCCACAGGAGAGUGAGCUGGGGCUGGAGUUGGUGGUGGGGGACGAGCCUCCAGUACGUCCAUGCGUGUAACAAGUUCAGCAACUCGUCGAUCAAGCUGCUCAUAGGAUGUCGCCGCAGAGUCCUGGUAUUUUUUAAAAGCUUUAGUCAUCGCGCGCAUCAUCUCCUUCAAUUCCAGCUAAGAGACACACUCAUCAUCGUUAAGCUUAGGCCCCUUGUCCUUGUCCAUUUGAUUCUUUGGUCCUGUCAUUGUUAGCACAAAACAGAGAUAAAAAGGCAACAAACAAUGUGAACCCUACAACUAUCUCUCAGGGUGGUGGUGGUGGAAUACAAAUUAUGAAGCAUCUUACCCCGCUCUUACAAGGUUCUUACCAGCACUGCAGGUGGCAAACGGUGACCGGUGUGACUGUCCAACGAGCGUGGGUGUGAUUGCAAAGGAGUACCUGUUCUGCUCGAGAGAAAGCUGGAGCUCUAGGAAGGCUGACUAAAUAUAUAUAUGUGGCACACAAGUCAGUAACAGAUAGCAAUGCUGAAUAAGUCUUCCAAGUACUGGUCCUAGUUGCUGGCCUAGAAAAUGUAAUAGAACAGUUGGACCAAGGCACAAGAAAGGAGGUACAAGUAUCUAGGUGCAGCAAGAAAACAGGCUUGGGGCAAAAUAAUCACAGAGGUGCACAGAACACUGGCGUUUUUGUUUAUGUGCUACUCUUUUCUUCUUUUUCCUUUUUUUGCGAUUUUUUUUCAAAUAUUUUUUAUAUUUUUCUCUUUUGCAGCAGCACAUAAGAAGAAAACACACCAAGUUUCAGAUUUUUUUGUGCAAUGUCGCGUCCUUUGGAAUUUCUACAAGUUUGCCCUAAAAUCGGAAUAAAUGUUUGGAAAAUGAGAAGUCCUAUUUCCAAGCCGAAUUUGGGAAUUUUAAAAACAGCAAAUCUGGCGGAGCGGGAAAGAAUCGGAUGCGAAAUUUAAUUCUUUGCGAUUUGAAAAAAAUGGGCUCGAUUCGAGUUCCGAGGCGAAAGUUACAGCCGUUUUAAGUUUGGACUCCGAAUCAGGGUUUCUGGCGAGGUGUUGGAAGGGUGGGGGGUUCGGUUUUAUGGAUAGGGUCGGUUUUAGAGAUAGGAUAUAUUUUAUGGAUAGGGUCGGUUGUAGAUAUAAGAUCUAUUUUGUGGAUAGGGUCGGUUUUAGAGAUAUGAUUUGUUUUGUAGAUAGGGUCGGUUUUGUAGGAUGGAAGCGGAUGGACAGAAUCAAACUGAACCAAAACAAAUCUAAACCAGCCACCAAACUCAACCUAGAACACGAACUCAGAACUGCGGACUCUAAAACUGAAUUGUGCAAAGGCUAAGACAAUGGUUUAGGUCGGAAUAAACUGAUCAUGAUUAUUUUUUUGGCUUUUUGUGGACUAUGGGAUGAAACAAAAUUAAUCUAAAGGUAGGAUUAUACCUCACGGACAACCAGGAAAUCUGAUACCAAUUGAUAGAAGAUGCGACCUGAUCUUCCGUGAGAUACGAUAACUUGAUUGAGUGGAGAUCUCGACGUUGAUGAUCCAAGGCUCCGAGCGAACGGAUCCUCGCAAUCACUACACCACGGCUCUGUUGGUUAUCACCCGUGACACACGAGUGACAUCGCCACGAAGGCUUAUCCCUGCAAGCGCAAUCAAGAACACAAGCAAGAACAAGAAAGAAACGCAACCAAAAUUGUAUUGAUUACAGAAUGGUGUCUCAUAAACCGAUGACGACGACACUGUUCGAUGACAGAAUUGAUCUAAGCAAAACCGAAACCUAAUGUGGUGGUGGCUGCUGAAUAAAUAGAGUAUUAGGGUGUGCGCGACCCCCUAGACUCGCCCCUAAUGGGCUCCGACGCGAUACACGGCCCAAUGGCCCAACAGACAGUGUCGCAGCACCAAAACAGAAUCUGAAUGCUGAAUUGUUUCGACGAUUCUCGUUGAAUCCGGAUGAAUUUUAAGGUGGAACUAGUUGGGUUGGUUAGAUAAUCUCUUUAUCUUUCCAACCAUAUCAAGUUCGUCGCAAUCGGAGUCCGAAUGCAUCUUGGGCGUCUAUUUUAGUGCAGACUGGUCCUAGACCCCAAGAUGGAGUCGCAGCCGAGUCAGACUUGAUCUCCUUCCUGUUGUGGGUGCCCUUGCUGCUCCUCCUCAACACCUUGGUCUUUCCCAAGUCCUUGCUGGUUCUCUCCAAGGUUCCUAAUCAUCAAAACAUCAAUUGCCCCAAGCGUAAGCUCUGAAACACAAUUGACUAGGGUAGAACAUACCUGGAGAUUUAGUUGUCGUGCACGCGAUCGUGUUAUCGGUCCAUUCAUUGUAUGUAUAGAAGUGAUGUCCUCAUCAAACUUGCUCUUCAGAUGACACGUGUCCUCACUGCUAAACGUAGCAAUACAGACAAACAUGGUACAGGCAAAAUUAAUAUUACACCAAACAUAAUAAUAAACUGCGUAAUAAUAAUCUACGGGUUGCUAUGAGAUCGUGGCAACGAGAAUCGCUAAAUUCGGAGUUACGGUUAAGAAGUUAUGGUUUUCUGAAGAUCCACAUGGUUAAAUAUAGAAUAGACUAAGCGUAAUAUUUUAACCUAUAUUUCAUGACAAAACAAAGUUGUCAGAUGAUAAUAAAUAUUAUUGUGAGACUAAUGCAACUAGAAUAGAUCAAAAAGGAGGUACUAUUAUUGAGUUACAAAUUUCUAAAGAUUUAAUAGUGGUGUAUAAAAGGAAUUAAGUACAAAAUUUCAGUUUAGGUUUCAUAACAAAAUAAAGUUACUGGAUGAUAAACAAUAUUAUUACAAGUCUAAUGCAACUGGAAUGAAUUAAUUUGGAGUUAAAAUGGUUUUAAUACGAAUUAAACAAGUUUCUUGAUUUAUUUUUAAACUAAAAAUCAUUUUCUGAAUUAUUCUAUCCCUUUUAUUCAACACCUGGGCUGCGGACACAAUUUCCGGAAAGCACAGGGUGCACUUUAUAAAAACCAGGGGCCUAUACCGAAUUACUUAACAUGGAAAGGGUUGGCGGGUUGAUAAGUCAAAAGGGCGAGGGUUCUUUUAGAAAACGACCACGACUGUUAUAAUGCGCGGGCAACCAGAGUCAUCCAGAUCGAAUCCAAUGGUCACAAUACAACGCGCGAAGGGGUACGCUUGAUUAAAUCAUGGCCCCCAUCUGUGAGUCGACGGUUCUGAUCUAUCAGAUUGAAGCGGUAUCCCUAGGGGUAAUCUGAGCCGUCCAUCAGUCGACCAACGACUCCUGUUUUCCCCACCAAUCUACACAAGGACGCGGCGGCGCCGGUCACCAGGGCGGCGGCGCCAUUGCCGGCAUGCCACCACCCCACACCCCAGUAUCCCAAACUUCAACCCAGCGCGUGCUACACAUAGAGGAGGUCAAGGCGAACCUAGAGGAGUAUUUCUUACUAGCAAUGGUGUAGUGGAGAUCUCGAGCCACAGUGAGGUGCGGUUUUUCCAACGUGCGUGACGACGGCGAACAAUCCGCCGACCACCAGGGUCUCUCCAGGCUAGAUGCCGCCAUAUCCGAGUCCCGAAGAUCACGACAAAGCUCCCAAGGCCGAGUUUGCGCACCGAACAGCAACAGGGACACAGUCCCAUGGCGGCGGCGUCUGGUUCUCCUUCUCUGCUCCGGACCGUGGUGGAGCCCGUGCUUGCUUCUCGUUUCUCUCUCGGUUUCCGUUUAUGGCGCCUGGCUCGCGUUCUUAUAGCCUUGCAAAGUUGGUCCCAUGCCGCUAGCAACAAACUCCGGAUUCCAUGGAACAAGGGGCGGCGUGGCAUGCACGGCGAAGACCGGUAGAGGGGAUAGAGCUGAUGAGGGUGGCCCACCAGUAAUUGAACGCAAGUAUGGCACAAGAGGCUGGCGAGCGGGACCCACACGUUGGUGUCCCCGCGUGUGGAGGGCGCACUGGGCUGAGGGGAAGUGGGCCGCGCGGAGGGGGGAAAUAGGAGAGGAAUGGACCGGCAGAUGGGAAUGUUGGCCCAGCUACGGGUACAACCAUAUUUCUUUUUUUUUCAUGAUUUCAUAUUUCAAUCCUAAUUUCAAAUCAGGUUUUUAAAUUCCAAUUUCUAAUUAAAUGUAAAUAGAGUUCAAGCUUAAAACAAAUUAUGUGCACAGACAAAACUCCAAUAUGAAUUCAAAAGUAUAAUUUUUGUUAUUUAUUAUCCCUUUUAGCAAUUGUUCUCAACAUACAAGCCAUAAAGAUUAUUUUUAGGAGAAAUAAAUUCUAAUGUGUAACCUUCAUUAAAAGGUGGUUUUACUUACCCUCCUUAAGAAUAUCCCUCAACCAUAUUAGUAAAAAAAUAAUCUAAUUCAUAUGAAGAUAUUUCCACUUUCUUUGAUUUCUUUAUUUAUUUAUUUUCUAUUUGCAUAAACUAAUGUCAUUAGUUAAGUAUGAAAGAAGGAAUCAAGAAAUCCCUAAAACACUCAAUUAUUUAUUUAUUUAUUUAUUUUAUUAUUAUCUUUCUUUAUACCAAUUUUGGGCUUUACACAACCACUUAGUUUCUUUUCAAACUUUGCCUCUAUCAUUUUUCAAUCAGUAUUUCCUAACCUCUUGUUGUGCAUCGGGAUACCUAGAUAUUUAAACACGUACUCCUUUCUUACAGCCAAAAAUCUGUUGAUAUUGAUGUUCCUCCUCUACUGCCUUACGAAAACAGAAUAGCUCACUUUUAUGGUAAUUAAUUUUCAAACCGAAGACUUGCUCAAAGGCUACAAAAAGCGAUUUCAGAUUUGCUGCUUUCUCUAAAUCAUUAUCAAAAAACAACAAGGUGUCAUCUGCGUAUUGCAAAAUAGAGAGCCCUCCAUCUACUAAAUGUGGCACUAGACCGUCAACUUGACCAUCUGCUUUAGCUCUAUUAAUAAGAAUAGCAAGCAUAUCCACUACUACAUUAAAAAGAAUGGGAGAGAGCGGGUCUCCUUGCCUCAACCCAUUGUCCAAAUUUCCUGUUGCUAAAGCUUUGUUGUUAUCUUAUUUGUUGCUUUCCGUGGUAAGAUAUCGUGGGUUCAUUCGUUUCUAAUACAGUGGCAUCCUUUGCUUUUCCUACCUUUUUGUUCACAUGUGGUUCUGACCGCGUACGCAGUCUUGGAGCAGUGGCUGGUGCUGUACGUAUCCGCUGAUACUUCGUCCUCGUUGACUCCAGUGUAAGUUUCCUCCGGCCGACUGAAACUUCCAGUUACCUACCGUAUUGACUAGUUCUCUCUCGUUGUCUAGCGUAGCACCUCACUGGUUCAGGACUGAAUGUUGCUGGCGACUUGGAAGACCGAACGCUUCGAUGUGCCUGCUAGGAGAAAUGCAAAGCUCGAGUUGCUGCAUUGUGACGUUGUGGCUCGAGAAAUGGCGCCCUUUUGGACAGUCAUCUCCAGUUGUGUUUGAUUUUACCGGGUCUUCUUUUUUUUCCCUGGCCAUACAUGGAUCUUAGUUGCGCAACGUUGGUCUGGGAUUGUGCACAAGUCAUCAUGGACGUUUGUGGCAAAAUUCUACUAGCAUGGAUAUCUGGACUCGGGUACUACUACGCAGACGGCAGACCUUGUUGUAUUGUAUCUUUGCUUCACAUCUCUGCCACACGUUCGAACUCCAGAGCCAGCAAAGCCUGCAUCUCUUCUCCUUCGUCAGGCAACCCUCUGCUGACCGGCACCGCCUGCAUAGUUUCAUCAUUCGUGUUAGAUGAACCUUCAUAUAUUUAGCCAGAUUGGAUAGCUGCGCGUCUAUGCACAAGCUGGUGCCGUUCUAGCUAGCCAGAUAAGAUAAUUUUGAGCGUAUUGAUGGAUACAGAUUAAUACCAUCAAAAUGGUUUUGUUUCAGUUUUUUGCAGCUU